rnacentral:misc_RNA from 1 species
GAGCAAGAACAAUCAGAUUAGUGAUUUUUGAGUACCCAAAAGAAACUCUGUUUUCAAUUCUCAUGGCGGAUUCUAUUCCCUCUAAAAUGAAGGCUUGGGUUUAUAGUGAAUAUGGGAAACCUGAAUAUGUCUUAAGAUUUGACUCAGAAGUUGUGGUCCCUGAAGUGAAAGAAGAUCAGGUCCUGAUCAAGGUUGUGGCUGCUGCACUUAAUCCAGUUGAUGCUAAGAGAAUGGCUGGGUUCAUCAAAGCCGCUGACUCACCUCAACCUACUGUUCCAGGGUAUGAUGUUGCUGGUGUUGUGGUGAAAGUGGGAAACCAGGUCAACAAGUUUAAGAUAGGAGAUGAAGUGUAUGGUAACGUCAACGAGCUCCCUCUGAACCCGAAACAAUUUGGAACAUUAGCUGAAUACACUGCUGUUGAAGAGAAGCUACUGUCUCUUAAGCCCAAGAAACUCAAUUUUGCAGAAGCAUCUGGCAUACCCUUAGCCAUUGAGACUGCUUAUGAAGGCCUUGAAAAAGCAGGGUUCUCAGCUGGUAAAUCUAUUCUUGUCUUGGGAGGUGCUGGUGGAGUUGGAACCCUAACAAUUCAGGUAGCAAAGCAUGUGUUUGGUGCAUCUAGAAUAGCUGCAACUGCUAGCACUGGAAAAUUAGAGUUGUUGAAAAGCUUGGGAGUGGACUUAGCAAUAGAUUACACCAAGGAAAAAUAUGAACACCUCCCAGAGAAGUUUGAUGUAGUGUAUGAUGCUGUUGGGGAGUGUGACAGGGCAGUGAAGGCAGUGAAAGAUGGUGGGAGUGUAGUGGAAAUAGUAGGCUUAACAAAUCCUCCUCCUCCAGCAUUUUUAUUUUUGGAAACUUCAGAUGGGGCAGUGUUGGACAAAAUCAAUCCAUACUUGGAGUCUGGAAAGGUGAAGCCAGUUCUUGAUCCUAAAGGCCCAUUCCCAUUUUCACAAGCUAAGGAAGCAUUUUCCUACCUUGAAACUACAAGAGCUAUUGGAAAGGUGGUUGUGUAUCCCAUCCCAUGAGUAGGACAGAAAAAAAUAAAUUGCUCAUAAGUUACAAAUAUAAUAAUGUCUAUAUUCAGAGACAUCCC